GAUGGCAGCCCACAGGGCCAGUGAGGGGGGGGGGAGACCACCCGCGUCUAUCCCAGCAUGAAGCACGUAGGGGGUCUGCAUUUACUUCUGUUCCUUUGAUUGGUUUUUUUUCCGGCCAGGUUUCCUCAUCCGUCAUUGGUAUGUGUGUUUCUGUGUUCCUUUGUUUCCUUUCUUAUUUUUGCGUGGUUGCUGUUCCAGCCUUCUGUUUCUCUCACGUAGAGUGAGGUGGAAUGCUCCAUGCCAUUUGUCACUCCUUCUCUGACCGCUUUUAUGUCCCCUCUUCUGAGGUGCAAUUUGGCAUGUAGGUGGGGGGGGGCGUGGUUUGCAGCCACAGCCACAUUUCAGUGCCUGGUGGCUUGGCAGGGACGACACAGGCGAGUUUCUGGGGCUUCUGCACAGACUUUGUUCGCAAAGCUGCCUUCUCUUCUGAGAUUAUGUGAAAUGUCCUGCUCCAGGUUUCAUCCCACUUCAUUCAUAGUGUUUCUAACUACUGUAUGGAUCCCCCAGGCUCUUUUGGUCAUUCUUUCCAAUCUUGUGGAGCUCUGGAAAAGGACUAACAUCCCGAGAGCCCGGAGGUGGGGAAGGGGAAAAUGCAAGUCCACGGAAUUUGAAACCAGCGUCCGCCAAGCAGGCUGCGGGCAGCAAAGGAAACAACAGGAUCCCAGGCUAUGGGGCUGCCUCGUCGUUCCGAAACGGUGGCCCAGCAUCACCCACACAACACCUCUGCAAGCCUUUAGUCCCGGAGACAACUUCCUCUUGGCCUCACCCAGAGCCAAAGAAACAGAGGCCUGCUUUCAACUCAACUGACAUCUGAGAAAAAGAAAUCCUUUCAUUUCUGUUUAGAAGCCUCCACCCUCAAAACUAAUCUGUCUACUCACGCUCAGGUCACAAAGGUGACUUCCCUGGCUGUCACCUCAGCAAGACCUUGCAAAGGCCCCACAUCCUCUGAUUUCUCUGCCUAUUCCUUCGACAGGUGCACAGCAGUCUAUCUUUCCCUGCAAAAGAAACUUUUCCCAACGCAGUAACCAGCAAUUUUGGCAUUUGGGGCUAGGAAUAUGAAAAGUGUCCUUUGCAAAGUGAAAAGUGGGAGGAGAGCGGCCCCCACGCAGGCAAAGCCCCCUCCGUGCACCAUGACAUCGGUGGUAGCUGACACAGCCAGAGGGUCACCUUGCCACCCCAGCCAGAGAGCUGCCUUGGGGAGGGAUGUCGCAUGGUAAAGCAUUUCCUCGGGAAUUAACGGCUUACAACCUG